rnacentral:SRP_RNA from 1 species
GCUGGGCGCAGUGGCGUGUGCCUGUAGUCCCAGCUACUCGGGAGGCUGAGGUGGGAGGAUUGCUUGAGCCCAGGAGUUCUGGGCUGUAGUGCGCUAUGCUGAUCAGGUGUCUGCACUAAGUUCAGCAUCAAUAUGGUGACCUCCUGAGAGCAGUGGACCACCAAGUUGCCUAAGGAGGGGUAAACCAGCCCAGGUCAGAAACAGAGCAGGUCAAAACUCCCGUGCUGAUCAGUAGUGGGAUCGCACCUGUGAAUAGCAACUGAAACCCAGCCUGGGCAACAUAGUGAGACCCCAUCUCU